rnacentral:other from 1 species
CGCCGGCCAAGACAGCACAGACAGGACUGACUUAGGUGUUUCUCGAACGUGAGAGGUGAGCGCCGCGGCCUCCUGUCCCAGACCUGCCUUCGCCUUGUUCUUGGCUCCUUGUGACCCCGGAGCCCUGCCGCCCUCAGACCCAUAACCUCGCUGCGCUCCUGUGCUGCGGCCUGUGGUAGGAUUGCCUACGACGUCCUGCCUGCCUGGUGACCGACUCGCCGGCAAGAUGAAGCUCUCCCUGGUGGCAGCGAUGCUGCUG